AUAAAGACACCCCUUUACCCCUAAAAACACUAAUCUAAUUCACUUGCCCAUGCGGGGUUUAGAAAUUCAUCUGGCUGCCAUGAAUGUUUAGAGUCCGAGAUUGGACCGUUCAGAGGUUCGGAUGCCACCUGAGAGGAGCUUCUAGUCUAGGAUUCACGUUUGUAAUGGCUUCAAAAUAGAAUAAUUCAUAAUUGCAUCAAUGACCAAAACAAUGUUGAUAGACGACGGACUACCCAUUUAUUUAUUUAUUUAUUUCGAAACGGAAACUAGCCAUUUAUUGAUAGAAACAUACACAUAUGAGCCGAGACUGCCUCCUUAUCCAUAAAUCCAUCACUUAUGGAUAAGGAGGCCGAUGAGUUCAGCAGCGACGCCACAUCGCUCCUUCAUAUAGCGAUCUACUUCGGCAUGGAAAUCCUUUUUGAUCCGCUUCAGCGUGUUAUCGCACACAUAACCGGCGGCCUUAGCACCCAUCACGAUCUUUGACGCGUCCGCAUAGUCCCCACGAUCGAAGCUUCGUUUCGCUUUGUACCUGAGGUCAUCUUCGGCAUCUGAAUAGGCCCGGAGGCAGACGGAUAGCGCGUCUCCCACGGGUGUACCCUGGUUGAAUUUGGCCCCGACUCUGAUGUUAUUGGCCUGAAAGGUAGUGAAAGAGGUGGCUAUCCCUAGUGCGAUGCUGGCGAGGUCGUGCACGGUGGAGGCCUUGACGCUAUCUUGGUUGAGUUGUAGCACUUGCUUACACAAUGCGGCGUUAUUGGUCUUCUUGCAUGUGCGGGAGAUGAAGACCGCGUUAGCGUGGCCUGCGGGGAGGCCACAUGACAGGAUGACAAGAAUGACGAGAACCGUGGCUGUG
rnacentral:lncRNA from 1 species